rnacentral:rRNA from 1 species
CACAGGUGCUGCAUGGCUGUCGUCAGGCUCGUGUCGUGAGAUGUUCGGGUUAAGUCCCGCAACGAGCGCAACCCUUAUCCCAGUUGCCAUCAGGUAAAGCUGGGAACUCUGGGGAGACUGCCGGUGAUAACCGGAGGAAGGCGGGGAUGACGUCAAGUCCUCAUGGCCCUUACAUCCCGGGCUACACACGUGCUACAAUGGCAGGUACAGAGGGCUGCAAAGCCGCGAGGUAGAGCGAAUCCCAGAAACCUGUCUCAGUCCGGAUUGAAGUCUGCAACUCGACUUCAUGAAGGCGGAAUCGCUAGUAACCGCGAAUCAGCAGGUCGCGGUGAAUACGUUCCCGGGCCUU